GGAAGUGGAGCCUCCCAUUUGCAGAAACAUGCUUUUGAUCUUGUGAACUCUAUUGCCAUAAGUGGCAGCUCUACCUCGACUGUGUGGGUCAUUUCCCCCUCCAUUGGAAGAGGUGCUCAGCUUCUGCUGCAAGCCCGUUUUGUUGGAAGUGUUUUCGGGACUGUUCACUCCAUCAAAAGAGCAUUUGAUAGCGUGGAAGUCAGACUUGUAGGCAUUCCGGUGUGGAGAAGCACUUCUUAAAGUCCUUUCCCCUUUGCUCUCAGUUUUCAUCAUUGUCAGAGAGCAGGCUCCCUCAGCUCCCGAGGAGAGGGAAGGAAAACUCACAGGCGCUAAGCUGCCACCCUCCAACGCCGGGCAGCGCAGAUGCUGCAGAAGAGCUGCCUUCUCCCCCUCAGCCGGCCUCCACGCUCACACUCAGACGGGCUGCGCCGGUGCACACACGGAGAGAAAGAAAUCACAGCGCGUAUACGGCCACAUCGGAUAUUAUCUCUGCUGCGGAUCACAGUAUCCAGAAAGCCAUCUGCGAGGGGACACACAGAGUUUUAAUUAACUCGGGACCCCGCCAGCGUGUGACACGAAUCCCGAACUCGCGUUCUCGACCGGGAGAGUGGCGCGAGCCCGGAUAAAGCCCAUUGUGUUCGCCGGGACGCGCGGCCACGGCUGCCGGCAGCCGCCCGCCCGGGCAUUAGCCCCGAGGACUCCGCGGGGCAGCGGCCGUCCCCCGCCCGGCAUCCCUUUGCCUGGCGCCGGCUGCCCGGGCCGCGGGGGGUGUUAGGGCCGGGGGCGGGGGGGGUGAAGCCGCCGGCCCUUCCUGCCGCCCGAGGAGGCCGGGCCGAAGCGAGGCGGAGGGGCCCGGGUGCCCGCGGGCCGCCCGGAAGCGAGGGAGCCGCGAGGUUCGGCGGUGAGUCCGGGGCUCCCCCCGCCACGCCAGCGCCUCCGCACCGCGGGGGCCGCCGGGCACCUCGCCCCAAACUUUCCGAGCCGGCCUACCUGGGGGCGGGGGUCCCGCCGGCUCCUUCCCCUCAGCGCUCCUGGCCGCCCAGCGGCCGCGCGCACCACGCCAUCAUUACACGCCGCCGCCCCGCUCUCCCCACGCCGCCUUCCGCCCGCCCCCGCGGCCCCGCUCCAAACCGCCCGCCCGCCCCGCGCCGCCUCUCACGCCGCACAACGCCCUCCUCGGCUCCGCUCCGCGCCUCGGGCCCGCCCGCGCGCCGCCUCGCUCCGCUCGCACACAAAGAGAGGGAGCGGCGGGCGCGCCCUCGUUCCUCUCAGCGUGAGGGAAGAGUGGGGCUGGGGGGGGGGCCGAGGGCAGCGCCGGGACAUACCACGCCGCGCGGGUUGCGGGUGAUACCAUGUCGGUGGGACCGGCGGCCGUUAGCGCGGGGCGUGGCGGCCCGGGGCCGCGAAGGCGUCGAGACGAGGGGCGGCGGGGAGCGGUCCGGGCCCGGCCCGCCGCACCCUCACCGAAGAACGCAGCCGAGGCGCCGUCCGGGCCGCCCCCGGGGAAGGGCCGCGCGGGAUUUUCAAAGCCCGGCGCAGCGGCCGCGGUGCGGUGAGGCCGCUCCCGACUGAGGGCGUCCCGGCGCGGAAAGCCGGAAGUAAUGGGAACGCCGCAUCGACUGACUUUUCUCCCCUCUUUUUCAAAUCCACGCCGUUUUAACAGAAAACCCCCUAACGAGCACGUGGCGCUGGGCCACGCUCCCGCGGCUGCUCCGCGCUCACGGAGCUCCCCGGUGCCGAGCGAAAGCCCGGCGGGCAGCGGCGUGUCCGGCACAGCUCUGCGGGGCCGGCGGGAGCCACGGAGCGCCUCUGCCAGCGGGACUGCGCGUGCCCAACUGCGUUAGUCCGAAUUACAGCACGGGCUGUGAGCCAUCCCACGGGGUGCGCGGUUCUGGUUACGGGCCAGACGCUGCUUCCACGUAGCAGCAUACAAAUCACACACAACAAUCGAGAGCACCAAAAGAAACCAACAGAAUGCCUGGAAUCAGGAACUGACGCCAAGCAUUAAGAAGAAAUUCAACCAGAUUCUGUAUUCUUACCCCGUGGGAAUCUCCAAAAUUUGAUGGUUUCUCAUUCCAAUAACUGAGUUUCCAGCAGAACAAGAACUUGAGCAGAGCCGAAGUGACAUUUCAUCUGGUAGUUAGCAGAUCAGUGGUGAAAUGUAGACAUUCUUACAGACAUCCACACUGUUUUUUUUUUCUAGCACAAAGCAAAGGGGGUAUGAAACUCUUGAGACUUGCUUCUGUGUUUGCAAAUGCUGUUGGGACAACAGUGUUCAGCAAGACCCGUCUCUAGUAGCCUCAGGUACACCCCAAAGCACCGCUUUAAGUAACGUUCUACAAGAAUAGUUUCAAUCCGAGAGCAACAAAUGUUUCUUGUGUUGAGAAUAUGUAGUUCUUACCUAGAACAAAGCAGCUGCGACCUCCCCCCCGCAUGUCCUGACAGCUCACUGUGGGGCUUCUGCACCGUUCCCAAUGCGCAGAGCUGUAAGAGAACACAAAGGAAACCUCCUUACACAAAACAAAGUAAAUAUAGGGUUGCUCUGCAGUUUGAACACUGGGCAAAGACCGUUCUGUGCACUGCUUCGGGAGCCUGCCAGCACGUAGGAGGCAGUUCAAAGGAAAACAAAGGCAGAUCUCAGGAACAACAUAAUAACAGAGCCCAGCUCCAACCUGCGCCCAGGAAAGUGAGAGGCCUUUGCACAGCGUGCGUAAGUGAGGCUGCAGCAGGAAGAUACUCUCCCAUUUCAGAUUCCCCCGUGCUUCAGGAAGAUGGGAUUACAGAGCAUAAACAUAAAUUUAAGUGCAUCAGAGAUAACUUCAUAAGGAAGAAAAAAAAAAGUCUCAUUCUACCUAGGAUAACAUAUGUAGGUUAUUUGGGCUAGCCAUGCUGGCUAGAAGGGACAACAUUAUCAGGAUGGACUGGUUUCUAGUCAGGAAAGGCUGAACUGUACUCUAGGUGAACUGAUAUGAAGGAAAUACUAGAGCUAUUUACAGAAACAAUGACUAACAAGAUCAGAAGAAUUCAAGAUAAGUACAUCUGGAAUUUGAGCAAGAAAUCUGGGAAGGUGAAGUAGUUGGGGAUUUCACCAUAGCUAAAACUGCAAUAAAACCCAGGAAGAGCGUCUUAGAGAUUCCAUCUGUGGAGGUAAAACAAUGCCCACCCAGUGUGUUACUUCUCAGAAAUCCUGUGAAUUAAUACCCUGAAUAAUAUUCUGGCCACAGAACCACAAACGGUAAAUGAAGGUUGAUGGAACAGCACUGAAACCUGCAUUGAGCACUACUGGUCUGCCAGCAUGUUACUAAUGAUUUCUGCAAGCUAAAGUUACUUCACAUCACAGCUCCAAAGCACGUUGGAGAAAAGAUUGGAAGAAUCUCUCGAGUCCCAAGUCUACAGAACCUCCUACACCCUUCAGGUAAAAUAGCAGCAGUUGUUUUCCUCACCUUACAAGCCCCAUUCCUCCGGCAUCCAAACCUUCAGAGCCACUUGGCACACUGGCAAACCCAUGAAAAAGAAGAAAAAAAGCAGCAGCAGGAGUGUGAAGAAAAGAUGAUGUAGAAUUCUGCAAAUGCCAGUUUGAGAGUAUACCAGGUUUCUCAAGCAUAGUAAGCUGAUGUUCACAUGACAAAGAGGCAGGGGGUCUUAAUAAGAGCCAUCACACUGAACACUUUUUGAGCAGAAAAAUCCCUCAGUGCAUUUUUCAGCUUGAUAACUGGAGUGCUGGUGAUGUAGUUUAAUUGGAUUUACAGGAAUUUAGCAAAUAAAGUUCAUUACUAUUGUCUAUUUUACCAACUUCCAAAGCAACAAAGCACAUGCUGUCACACUGCCUGCAUGUUUCUGAGCGUCUCCUACUCUGCGAGGACUUCUGAAAACUGGCCAGCUGGUUCAACCAGAUUUGACACUGGCUAAGAGUUUCCAACCAUAAUUAUGCUCCGACUAGUUUUGUAAAAACAGGCAGCCAGAGAGAGGCAGAAGAGAGACCUGGUAAGAUGAGUCAAGGGAAAAGUAAGAGAUCACCCCUUACCAGCCACUGGAGAAUCCUGCACAAGCCACACAGGAGGAAAACCAGAUGAAUGUAUCGGUCAUAAGAAAAGCCUCACUUCGAAGUUGCACCUUUUUAAAAGUGGAAGACAGUCAACCAAGAGACACACAUUGGGAGGAUAACUGGCAUCUUUGAUUCUGGACUUCACAGCACAGUUUCUUAUUCAGAAGCAUAAGUUUCUGUCUGGCCAAGCAGUUUUUAUACAAAACGCAAAGUGUUUCUGUAAAAUCUCUUAUCUUAAUAAUAAUCAAGAAAGCUGUGAGAAUCACAUGAAAUAAAUCCUGCUCACAGAGUUACGUGCAUCUAAAAAAGAAUAAAGAACCUCUAUGUUGUUUCAUAGUAUGACUAGAAACUCGCUCUGUUAAAAUGCCUACCCAGAAGACAUACAUUCUUAUGUACAUAUUAAAAAGCACUUAAAAAUGUAUUUCUGAGUUAUGAGACAACUUUGUACCCUUUGACAGGCAGUCCUUACAAAGUAUCUUCAUUUUAACUUUCAUAUAUCCCAGUCUGUCUAAAAAACAAUUUCUGCAUACAUGUGACUAUGUUUAGAUUAUAAUUUAGAGCCAAACCAAUGUAGUUUGAAAGCAAACUAGAAACUUUAUAACUGCUUAGUUUUUAAAUUGAUCUAGCAGUUAUGUCAGGAGGUGAAAAAGGAAGAAGCACAAUCUCACAGAUAAGUAUAAGUAACUCAAAGAAACAAUUUAAUUUCAAAUAAAUAAGGCAGUACUCUGAAAUUCUGUCAGAACUCCUUGACAUUUCCUAGGCUUAAAAUAUUUAAAAAGACACAACUAUCAGCUAAUAAUGUCACAAAAGUAGGAGAAAAGUAUGAAGUGAGUUCAGGUUCAAAAAUUCAGUUCGCUUCUUUAAUAGGUAAGGCUGUUACGUGAGCGAUAAUUGUGUAAAAUAACACAAAAAUGAAAGGUGGAGAUUAAAACAGAAGGUAUAAUUUAGGUAUACAUUAUAAAGAACAGAACACAAUAAUUUAGAUCUCUUACUUACCAGGACAAUUUUUCAGUAUGAUGCAAGGAACCAUCAAGAACACAUGCCAUUUGCAAACUCUCUCGAGACAGAAAAGAGGAAUCAGUUGCCCACUGCCAGAUGUAUCUGCAGUUAUGCUAGAUGAGUAAGCAAAUGGCAUUAUAAGAAAAAAAGAGAAGCAUUUUAUGCAAAUGCUAAAUUCACAUCAGCAUUUUCAGAGAAAUGAUUAUUAUCAGUGAAUCUGUAAAAUAGCUUUAUGUGUAUAUACAUACGUGUGUGUGUGUGUGUGUGCGCAUGUAUAUAAACAACAGUGGUUAGAGUUAACUUUGGAAAGUUCAAAUACAACCAUUCAGUUUUUCCUUUGAAAGGGAGUCCUCAUUUAAAAAAAUUUUAGAGGACAAAAUAACUGUAAAGAAAAUGCUUUACAUUAAGACAGAUUUUUUUUUUUAAGAAAAAUAUGAGAAAACCC
rnacentral:lncRNA from 1 species